ACAGGGGGAUAACACUUAGAAAUAGGUGCUAAUACCGCAUAAGCGCACGGUUCCGCAUGGAACAGUGUGAAAAACUCCGGUGGUAUACGAUGGAUCCGCGUCUGAUUAGCCAGUUGGCGGGGUAACGGCCCACCAAAGCGACGAUCAGUAGCCGGCCUGAGAGGGUGAACGGCCACAUUGGGACUGAGACACGGCCCAAACUCCUACGGGAGGCAGCAGUGGGGAAUAUUGCACAAUGGGGGAAACCCUGAUGCAGCGACGCCGCGUGAGUGAAGAAGUAUCUCGGUACGUAAAGCUCUAUCAGCAGGGAAGAAAAUGACGGUACCUGAUUAAGAAGCCCCGGCUAACUACGUGCCAGCAGCCGCGGUAAUACGUAGGGGGCAAGCGUUAUCCGGAUUUACUGGGUGUAAAGGGAGCGUAGACGGCAGCGCAAGUCUGGAGUGAAAUGCCGGGGCCCAACCCUGGAACUGCUUUGGAAACUGUGCAGCUCGAGUGCAGGAGAGGUAAGCGGAAUUCCUAGUGUAGCGGUGAAAUGCGUAGAUAUUAGGAGGAACACCAGUGGCGAAGGCGGCUUACUGGACUGUAACCGACGUUGAGGCUCGAAAGCGUGGGGAGCAAACAGGAUUAGAUACCCUGGUAGUCCACGCCGUAAACGAUGAUUACUAGGUGUCGGGGGGCCAAGGCCCUCCGGUGCCGGCGCAA
rnacentral:rRNA from 1 species